AGCAUGGUCCAGCAGCUGCAGAGGGCCACCCAUCAACACUGUAACAUCUGGUAAAGCUUUGCAACUGGAAGAGCUGCGUUUCAACAUUGCUGAGUGGCGCAUUGCUUCUGCAUCUGUGGGCACUCAGCGUGUACGCAAGUGUGCCAUUCAGACUACAUGGAUGCAGCGGUACAGGCAGUGCCAACCGACGAUGACAAGCACCAAAUCAGAAGAGUGCUGCUGCGCAUCGCUCAUCCACAACUCUCACUGAGUGCACCGAUGCCUUGAGGGGAACUGUGGUGUUAGUACUGAUGCGUUUACUUCGCCGACAUUUGUACUUUCGCCCCCAAUUGUCUGGCGGGUCAGUGUACCUAUUUUGAAGAUGCUCUGUCUGUGAUGGAGCGAAUAUGUGAGACAUCUCUCUUUCUGCCCACUGUGUAAGAACAACGGCACUAAGAGAGACAAGGACGAAAAAAAAAAGACACGACAGAGACACUGAUUCUCAACUAAAAAUUUAUUCGAAAGAACAUGCACACGCUCGCACCUAGUCUCAUGACAUACCAUAGCAUCUGUGCGGCAGAGUAAUCAGGACUUAAGAAAAUACCUAAUGCAAAAUCGACAGUUUGACAAGUUGGUGGAUGUUUAUCGUAGAAUAAUUGACAGUACAACGGGCUAGAUACAAACAUCAGUGCGCACUGUGUAUUUUCUUCUGUUUGUAUAUAACCCAUUGUGCUGUUCAUUAUUCUGUCUACUAUGAAAAAUAACAAAUUAUGACAAAAUAAUACUUGUGUAUCACAAAGCCAAAAAGUAAAAGAAAAAAUUAAGUGCAAGCAAGAACAUACAUUACGGUUCUAAAAUUACAUUCUUUAACCCGGCUGGGUUAAAUCCAGGACACAGAAAUUCUUUUUCACUGAGGCCUAUUGACAGCUUGCACAUACAACCUACCCCUUCCUUUAAACGUAAAAAGCUUCCAUUACUUCCCUAGUUCAUUUGUCGGGCUUGUCUUAUGUAAGCCUCCCCCUGCCCCCUCCCUCAUGAUAAUGGCAACCUAUAGACAACGCACGAUUUGCUACGAAAAUAUCUGUUCUUUCGCUCUCAUUCUAGCUCAUGAGCACUUGGAUAAUGCUAUGCCUGAGCAAACUUGUUGAUGCAAAACCUAUCAUUAUCACAUUUAGAACGAGCCCAGUUAUUUCGUUUAAAGCCGCACUCACUUUAGCAGCAUAGCUCAGCACCUAAGUGGGAUGGCCCAUGUACAAUUUCUCAAAUUUUUGUAACCUGUCCUACCUCUUGAAAAGCGCUACAACUGUUGAACUUAGUAGGACUAGUGAAACGGUUUCAGAGCUUUAACCCUAUAACGUUUGAUUACCCAUUUCGCUGGCACAUUCAACCUUCAAGUUGCAAAAUGCUUAGAUCUCUGGUAGCAGUGCAUGCCAGCACUUUAAAGCAAUGCUGUGCAGAUGAAGCGAUCCACAUGAAUAGUGGACCUUAACCGUUUUCCAGUCCUGCUCCCCACUGGUGCAUACUACCUCGGUUGGCCGCUCGGGCUCGCCUCUAGGACAGCCAUCAUCAACGGGCACUUCACCGAGUGGUCCCCACACAAUGCCCGUGUGGACUACGCUAGGCUCAGAUGGCUCCCGGUUAGAUGGGCAUCCUUCCUUCCUUGGGAUCUACAACCUGAAUAAACCAUUGAGGACCUGCAACCUCAAAGCCAUUCCAAGGCCGCCUUAUCCCAGACCAGCACUCAUUUGAGCCUCAGGUCUCACACAUGCCAUAGGACGCAUGCAUGCUGUGUCCCCUCUGGGGGCGGGGGAGGCUCAGAGCUCUACCCCCGCUAACAACAAAAUGGCGCUCUGCAGAGGGUCUGCAAAUCUCUUCUUACGGCACGUACCCAUUUACACGCUGUAUGCCCGCAGCAGCUCCACAAGAAAGCAGCGCUCCUUGACCUCAGUGAGAAAUGAGCCACAACCCUCCCUACUGGAGAGGUAGGGUGCAGUAUGGGGGCGCUGCCCAGGCAAAGCAAAAUGAGAAUAUUGAGCGGUCUCGGCACGCUAACCUUCAGUGCUUGCGCUCGCCCUGCCACUGGAGACCGAUCAGUCUGGCCGCGGCUUGUGACGAGUAAAGAUUUUUUUGUUGUCA
rnacentral:lncRNA from 1 species